rnacentral:lncRNA from 1 species
UCUGGGGAUAAUAGAUACAGGUCAGUUCUCUCUACUGCCCCCUCUGGGGAUAAUAGAUACAGGUCUACUGCCCCCUCUGGGGAUAAUAGAUACAGGUCUACUGCCCCCUCUGGGGAUAAUAGAUACAGGUCUACUGCCCCCUCUGGGGGUAAUAGAUACAGGUCAGUUCUCUCUACUGCCCCCUCUGGGGAUAAUAGAUACAGGUCUGCUCUCUCUACUGCCCCCUCUGGGGGUAAUAGAUACAGGUCAGUUCUCUCUACUGCCCCCUCUGGGG